rnacentral:rRNA from 1 species
UACGGGGGGGGCAAGCGUUGUUCGGAAUUACUGGGCGUAAAGGGUUUGUAGGUGGCUUGCUAAGUCAGACGUGAAAUCCCUCAGCUUAACUGAGGAACUGCGUCUGAGACUGGCAAGCUUGAGUGCAGGAGAGGAACGCGGAAUUCCAGGUGUAGCGGUGAAAUGCGUAGAUAUCUGGAGGAACACCGGUGGCGAAGGCGGCGUUCUGGACUGUAACUGACGCUCAUGCACGAAAGCGUGGGGAGCAAACAGG